CAGAGUAAAAUUUAUCCGUAGAGUGGGAGCAAAAUUACAGAGUAACUGUGACUCCUCCCCAAUUUACUCUCAUCCCUUCGUUGAUCCGCCAUUACUGUUAAUCACGGCCAUCGACUGCUGCUGCUUUGGGUUUAGAAGACGGCACACUUCUGCUGGAUGGUAAAGAUGUAAACCAACAACAUUGUCAGAAUGAAGUUCAAAGAAAUAUAUUUUUUUCUUCAAAACCUUUUACAUUUCAAAUGUUUUGGGAAUGUGAAAAAGCCCUUCCUGUAGUUUAAAGGAAGAAUCUGCGAAGAGAAUCAUCUCCCUAUUCCUAUGCUUGGUUGACCCCAGGAGCAAGUUUCGUUAUGUUGGAACAGCAAAUUGUCUUCCAUUUUGAUGCUGGUUCACCUUUUGCCACCCUCUCAAGUCACCGCCACGUAAGACCGGGAAAGAUCUCAGCUAGGCAAACGUGAUCGUCUUGUGAAA